UCUCGUUGAAUCAGAUGGAGCUUGUUUCCAAAUAAGAAUCUCUUCAUGUGUGGGAAUUGGUGUGUAGUUGAAGGAAAGGUCUUUGUUCGCGGAUAAUGCCAAAAGCUCCUUCUCCUCGAGCCCUUUUGUCGUGCUGAGGCUGCACCGGUCUGGUGUGUGUUUGGCUAAUGCAUCUCUGAAUUUUUUGAUCUAUAGAAUUUGCCAUUGUAAUUUAGAACACACAUCAUUAGAAAACAAUAAUAAAAGAACUAGGAGCCAUAUCUAAUGAAAUUAGCAUCUAAAAGGAAGGAUUCAGGAUUAACCGUGGCAUUGGUACAACUAAAGCUGCAUACACGCCCCUGCGCACCUCGAUAGAACCGGAAGAAAGGCAGCACAUGGACAUUAAGGCUAUAGCACAUUGACUUGUGCUCCUCGUAAUUAACCUGAAGAAACUGCACAUCUGGAUUCAUCUCUGCAAAUUGGCAAAUCUGCCAAAUCCACAAUCAAUUCAAAUACAUAAAACCCCCAAAACAAAAUCUAGAUACAGAGCUAUGCAUAUAUAUACCUUGGGAUGAAGAGCCUUGCAACCACCACAACCAGGGGAGAAGAAAUCUACCACAACAAGCUUAUCACCAGCAUUCAAAAGAGAGUCUACUAGGUCUUGUGCAGAUGCAACUUCUUUCAUAUUUGGUUGAAGCCCUUUCUCCCACCAUUUCUGAACUCGACCAAUAAGCCCACUUUGCAUCUGAUUCCAUUAAACAAACCCAGAAAAAAAAAGUGAAACCAAUUAGUAUUUCUUGAUUGAUCUAUGUACAGAUCAGCUUAUGGGGACAAAAAGAAUUUAAAUCAUAACACUACUACAGAUUUUCAAACAAAAAAAGAAAGAAAGAGUAAAAUUUCUUGUUUAAUCUUUGUGUUACGUGAAAAAAAAUCAAAAUUUUUACACAUAUAUAAGGCGAUUUAUAUUUAAAGAUUUUGAUCUUUGGUAUGUAAAAACUGAGCAAAGAACUAACUGUAGAAAGCUAAUAAUAGAAAAGAAAAAAAGUAAAUUAUCAAGAAAUUCAAAAUUAAAUAAAAAUUAAUCACAAAAUAAAUUGACACAACUAAACAAAUAAAAAUAUACCCACGCUUUUCCACAAAAAUAAGGACAAAAAGAAGAAGCAAAGAUCCAGAAAUUGAAAUUAACA
rnacentral:lncRNA from 1 species